GGCUCAACUGGAGAAGAUCAAUGCUGAGCCUUCAGAAUCAGACACUGCCCGAUAUGUUACAUCAAAAAUUCUUCAUCUGGCUCAGAGUCAAGAAAAAACAAGGAGAGAAAUGACAGCCAAAGGUUCUACAGGAAUGGAAAUUCUGCUGUCAACAUUAGAGAACACAAAAGAUCUUCAAACUACACUUAAUAUCUUAAGCAUUCUUGUUGAGCUGGUGUCAGCUGGUGGAGGUCGAAGAGUGAGUUUCUUAGUCACCAAAGGUGGUUCACAAAUAUUGUUGCAGUUACUUAUGAAUGCCAGCAAAGAAUCUCCCCCACAUGAGGACUUAAUGGUACAGAUUCAUUCUAUUCUUGCAAAGAUUGGACCAAAAGAUAAAAAAUUUGGAGUAAAGGCUAGAAUUAAUGGGGCUCUGAAUAUAACCCUGAAUUUGGUCAAGCAGAAUUUGCAGAAUCAUCGCUUGGUUCUACCUUGCCUUCAGCUUUUACGAGUAUAUUCUGCCAACUCUGUGAAUUCAGUAUCCUUAGGGAAAAAUGGAGUUGUGGAACUGAUGUUUAAAAUCAUUGGACCAUUUAGUAAGAAGAAUUCCAGUCUUAUAAAAAACAAAUGCCAGGAGAGCUGUAGACAGAGGAUAUGUCCAAGUGCUUUUAACAAUUUAUGUAGAUUGGCACCGCCAUGAUAACCGGCAUAGAAACAUGCUCAUUCGGAAAGGAAUUUUACAGAGUUUAAAAAGUGUUACAAACAUCAAGUUGGGAAGAAAAGCAUUUAUUGAUGCCAAUGGGAUGAAAAU
rnacentral:sRNA from 1 species